rnacentral:lncRNA from 1 species
UGGGAAUAAACGAGAGAAUAUGAACAUACAGAGGCAGAGAAAUAUGGGACCAAUUAAGUCUCAUCUUACAUGAGCAACAUAUGAAACAGAGGGAGCAUGUUCUGGGACUAGGAAAAAUCCUUUACAAUCUUUAUUUUUUCAUUAUUUUUAGAAAGAUCUUUGCUUUUAUUAUUUCGAAAUGAACUAAAGAUAAAUGGAUAACGAUCAUAACCUAUCAACUUAUC